GACAGAGGGUGCAAACGUUGCUCGGAAUCACUGGGCGUAAAGGGCGUGUAGGCGGGAAGGAAAGUCAGAUGUGAAAUCCCCAGGCUCAACCUGGGAACUGCAUUUGAAACUCCCUUUCUUGGGUACCGGAGAGGAAAGUGGAAUUCCUGGUGUAGAGGUGAAAUUCGUAGAUAUCAGGAGGAACACCAGUGGCGAAGGCGGCUUUCUGGACGGUAACCGACGCUGAGACGCGAAAGCGUGGGGAGCAAACAGG
rnacentral:rRNA from 1 species